CUGCCCUUUUGUCUGUGGGCCCACAGUGUUUAAUAUUGGUUCAUAUUGUGUUAUUUGGUGCACUUUAAAAACUGAACAUUCAAAGUGAUAUUUUGAUACCCAAAAUGAGUAAUUCUGUACAUGGUGAGUUAAAUUGAUUCUGAGUGUUUUUGAUACAGAGACCCAUUUUGUCAUUUUGUCACCUGAGAUACUGCCUUUUUGAGGGUUAAAUUGUGGCAGAUUCAAAGUCAGUGUGAUUGUGUGGAUGCCUCACAUUCUGGAAUUCAUUUAUUUGAACUAUUUCAAUUCUCUAGUUCUAUUCUAACUAAAUUCUUUUUAUUUUGUUACUUAAGAUUUUUAUUAUUUCAAAAGGAGUUUGUUCAUGACUAUUUAAAUAUAUUUGAGUAUAGUUCUUAUUUCUCAAUAACUUUCUGAGAGAGAAAUAGUAAAUUUGGGAACGUCAGAGGGGCCUAACUUCAACAUCUGUAGGCAUAUAGUUAAUGAAUCUGGUGCACUGGUGCUAAUUACAAGAAAGACAGGUAGGGGGCGCUACACAGUGCUAUGCAUCAAUAUAUUGAGAUGUACACAGAUCAGUUAUAACAUUAUGACCAUCUUCCUAAUAUUGUGUUGGUCCCGCUUUUGCUGCCAAAACAACCCUGACCCAUCGAGGCAUGGACUCCACUAGACACCUGAAAGUGUGCUGUGGUAUCUGGCACCAAGAUAUUAGCAGCAGAUCCUUUAAGUCCUGUAAGUUGCGAGUUGGGGCCUCCAUGGAUCGGACUGGUUUGUUCAGCACAUCCUAAAAAUGCUCAAUUGGAUUGAGAUCUGGGGAAUUUGGAGGCCAAGCCAACACCUCAAACUCGUUGUUGUGCUCCUCAAACCAUUCCUUAUCUAUUUUUGCUUUGUGGCAGAGCGCAUUAUCCUGCUGAAAGAGGCCACAGCCACCAGGGAAUACCGUUUCCAUGAAAGGGUGUACAUGGUCUGCAACAAUGCUUAGGUAGGUGGUAUGCAUCAAAGUAACAUCCACAUGGAUGGCAGGACCCAGGGUUUCCCAGCAGAACAUUGCCCAAAGCGCACUGCAUCCACCGGCUUGCCUUCAUCCCAUAGUGCAUCCUGGUGCCAUGUGUUCCCCAGGUAAUUAAUGCACACGGACCCGGCUAUCUACGUGAUCUGAAAGAAAAUGUGAUUCAUCAGACCAGGUCACCAUCUUCCAUUACUCCGUGGUCCAGUUCUGAUGCUCAUGUGCCCACUGUUGGCACUUUCGGCGGUGGAAGGGGUCAGCAUGGGAAUGUGUCCCCACAUGCAUUGCAGAUUCCUCCAGUGCAACACACUCCGGCCGUUGCGGUGUCUCAACUCUGUCCGGGCAGUAAUACCACAGAUGAGACGGAGUGGAUAUGGGAAGGUAAGCCAUAGUUAACAAAGAAUUUGUCACACAGUAUCUUGGCCACAGUCAAAGCUUUUUGGUCCUUGGCUGUGAACGCCUGGGUAUAAUGUUUGAAGUAGUCUGUUACAAUGAGAACAUUGCUAAGACCCUGUUUGUAAGGCUCAAUUUACAAGAAGUCGAAGCAUACUAGAUCGACUGGCCCACUUCUGGUCAGGUGGUUCAAUGGUGCAACUUUCUUGGGUAAUGUUUUUCUUGUUACACCGGCCACAUUUUUUAACAUACCGCUCUACGUAUGUGGACAUUCUGCGCCAAUAAAUGUGAUUUCUCAGGAGUUCAGUUGUUCUCUCUUCUCCCAAAUGACUGGAGUCAUCGUCAAGGAGUGCAGUACUUGAGACCAGUACUUUUCAGGUAGUACUAGUUGUAUCUUUUCUUUCCCACAGGAACUUUUGGUGACUCUGUACAGCAUUGUACCUUGAUCUUCAACUUGUGUCCUUGUAAGUAUUUUUCCAGACUCCACUUCUCGCUUCACUACACCAACUACGGGGUCCUCCUUGCACUUUCCUCAACUCUGCAUUGGUCAGCUGUUCCAUAUGACCCAGACAAGAGAAUGCAUCUGGUAUACGCUGAGGUGAAACACCUUACUGAUCCACAAGUCUGGAUGAUGACUCGCUUUCAGGAACACCAGCCAGCUGACAAAUGGCUUUUACCCCUGACUUGGGAAUUUCCUUCCAUUCAGAGCAGGCGGUUGAUUCACAAGUGUAGCGCGACAAUACAUCCGUGUUGAUGUCGUGACUUCCUGACUUGUAUCGUAAGCUGAAGUUGUCUUCUGCUAACCAACGAUGACCUGUCGCACUCAGCUUGGCACUUGAUAAGACAUAGGUAAGUGUAUUGUUGUCGGUCUUCAUAACAAAUUGGGCACCAUCGAGAUAGGAGGUUGUGGACAAGUUCCAUUACUAUUUAAGCGCCAAGAAUGCUUUCUUACACCCAAGCAACGUCACCCCAUUCACCAGCUUGGUGAAUGCUUGGUGAAACAUCAAUCGUUCAUGAUGUUUCAUUAACAAAAUUCGGUACGAGCACAUUCAAAUGACCUAUCCAAUCAACCUGCCAUCAGCAAUUACCACGUCUAUCCUAUCAGCAUGAGAGGGAAGCCUGUGUGUGUGUGUGUGUGUGUGUAUAUAUAUAUAUAUGUGUGUGUAUAUAUAUAUCCCUUGUUGCCCAGGAGCCUUCUCGGCACCCUACUGAUACCGCAGGACACUGCAACUGAACCUCCAGCAACACUGCACUGUCGUUGGCCUAGCCACGCCGCUUCUUGUACACCGAGGCUUGCAUUUGCCUCCAUCAAGACACUCACCACCAUCCUCCUAUACCUCAGCACAACCCACGAUUCCUGCAAUAAAGAAAUGGACAAUUUUAGGAUUAAGACAAGUGCUAAUCAGCACUGAUGUCCAUUUUUCAAAGAAUGAACAAAGCUGAGCUAUACAACCUGUAUGUCUCACUUCAGUCAGAUAUUCCGUCUCUGUAAAAUUGACUACCUUCCAAAGCCACUAACAAAGAGAGAAAGAAUCGCAAAGCCCCGGACCCACGUUCCCAAAAAUCACCUCCUUCCUCCCUCACAGGACCAGUUCUUCCACGAACAUCAGGCCUUCAGCUAGUCUAGGCUGUGCUCCAGACUCAGCCGCUGCCAGGCCUCAAUCUUCUCCUUUUACUGCCGAGCUACAGACCGCAUCUUUCCCCAGCGCUGUGCCCCCAAAUCCCCCCCCCCUUUUUGUCCCGCUCCAGGGUCAACCCAAGCGCGACGCUGCCUCCUUAAGUGACUUCAGCCCCGGUUUCUUUUCCUCCUAAGACUGUCCCCCAAGCAAAAAUCUACUUUCACUUUGUUUUUUGCAAUGCUGAUACCCAUCCCACCAAAUGCUACAGCCCUGGAACCAACCUUGUUGCCAGCAACUUCCGAGCACAAAUCCUCACAGGUGCAGACAAUGAUUUAUCCUCCUUACUAUGCUUCCUUCCAUCUCAUCAAAUCGACUGUUCUGCCCAUUAAAGUAGUCAUUUAAUUUUGGGUUUAUUUCAUUGGCUAAGAUACAUCAUGUGACUUAGGUUUGAGAUCACGGCAGCCAUCUUAGUUUUCACUUCACAAUAGCAGUGACACAGCAGCAGAUGUCUCCCUGAUAAAAGCUAUGUUCUUGUCAUUUCAUGCCAAAGAGGCCAUCAUCUGGAAAGCCAUGUCAAGAUCCUGGUUUGCAGCAAGACUUCGCAUGAUGUGCCGGCUCUGUGGUCUCUCCUCCGAUGCAUAUGAGUGUAAAUGCCCACUGUCGCCAAAGGAUAUGUUUCUCCUUGUGUUACAGAUCAUUUGUGUGUUCGUGCAGUGUUAGUCCUGGCCGUUUUUGAGUCUCUCUGGCCUCGUUCCUGUUCUGGAUGUUUCCCUUUGAGGCAGUUUUGGAUUACCUUGUUGGAUUCUUGUCGGAGGAUUGGUUUGCCCAUUGCAGUCUCUGCGCUACCAAGAAAUACUUCGCCAUCUGCACCACGACGUCUGACCCUUGCUAUCUUUCCUGCUGCUAUUUUUCUUAAUAA